GACGAACGCUGGCGGCGUGCUUAACACAUGCAAGUCGAACGGAAAGGCCCUGCUUUUGUGGGGUGCUCGAGUGGCGAACGGGUGAGUAACACGUGAGUAACCUGCCCUUGACUUUGGGAUAACUUCAGGAAGCUGAGGCUAAUACCGGAUAGGAGCUCCUGCUGCAUGGUGGGGGUUGGAAAGUUUCGGCGGUUGGGGAUGGACUCGCGGCUUAUCAGCUUGUUGGUGGGGUAGUGGCUUACCAAGGCUUUGACGGGUAGCCGGCCUGAGAGGGUGACCGGCCACAUUGGGACUGAGAUACGGCCCAGACUCCUACGGGAGGCAGCAGUGGGGAAUAUUGCACAAUGGGCGGAAGCCUGAUGCAGCAACGCCGCGUGCGGGAUGACGGCCUUCGGGUUGUAAACCGCUUUCGCCUGUGACGAAGCGUGAGUGACGGUAAUGGGUAAAGAAGCACCGGCUAACUACGUG
rnacentral:rRNA from 1 species